AUACGUAGGGGGCGAGCGUUGUCCGGAAUGAUUGGGCGUAAAGGGCGCGUAGGCGGCCUGUUAAGUCUGGAGUGAAAGUCCUGUUUUCAAGAUGGGAAUUGCUUUGGAUACUGAUGGGCUUGAGUGCAGGAGAGGUUAUCGGAAUUCCCGGUGUAGCGGUGAAAUGCGUAGAGAUCGGGAGGAACACCAGUGGCGAAGGCGGGUAACUGGACUGCAACUGACGCUGAGGCGCGAAAGUGUGGGGAGCAAACAGGAUUAGAUACCCUGGUAGUCCACACUGUAAACGAUGAAUGCUAGGUGUAAGAGGUAUCGACCCCUUUUGUGCCGGAGUUAACACAAUAAGCACUCCGCCUGGGGAGUACGGCCGCAAGGUUGAAACUCAAAUGAAUUGACGGGG
rnacentral:rRNA from 1 species